rnacentral:rRNA from 1 species
GAUGAACGCUGGCGGCAUGCCUUACACAUGCAAGUCGAACGGCAGCACGGGUGCUUGCACCUGGUGGCGAGUGGCGAACGGGUGAGUAAUACAUCGGAACGUACCUUAUCGUGGGGGAUAACGCAGCGAAAGCUGUGCUAAUACCGCAUACGCCCUGAGGGGGAAAGCGGGGGAUCGCAAGACCUCGCGCGAUUAGAGCGGCCGAUGCCUGAUUAGCUAGUUGGUGGGGUAAAAGCCCACCAAGGCGACGAUCAGUAGCUGGUCUGAGAGGACGAUCAGCCACACUGGGACUGAGACCCGGCCCAGACUCCUACGGGAGGCAGCAGUGGGGAAUUUUGGACAAUGGGGGCAACCCUGAUCCAGCAAUGCCGCGUGAGUGAAGAAGGCCUUCGGGUUGUAAAGCUCUUUUGUCAGGGAAGAAACACCGGCUCUAACACAGUCCGGGAAUGACGGUACCUGAAGAAUAAGCACCGGCUAACUACGUGCCAGCCGCCGCUGUAA